CCUGGCGGCAGCCUACACAUGCAAGUCGAGCGGAUGACAGGAGCUUGCUCCUGAAUUCAGCGGCGGACGGGUGAGUAAUGCCUAGGAAUCUGCCUGGUAGUGGGGGACAACGUUUCGAAAGGAACGCUAAUACCGCAUACGUCCUACGGGAGAAAGCAGGGGACCUUCGGGCCUUGCGCUAUCAGAUGAGCCUAGGUCGGAUUAGCUAGUUGGUGAGGUAAUGGCUCACCAAGGCGACGAUCCGUAACUGGUCUGAGAGGAUGAUCAGUCACACUGGAACUGAGACACGGUCCAGACUCCUACGGGAGGCAGCAGUGGGGAAUAUUGGACAAUGGGCGAAAGCCUGAUCCAGCCAUGCCGCGUGUGUGAAGAAGGUCUUCGGAUUGUAAAGCACUUUAAGUUGGGAGGAAGGGCAGUAAAUUAAUACUUUGCUGUUUUGACGUUACCGACAGAAUAAGCACCGGCUAACUCUGUGCCAGCAGCCGCGGUAAU
rnacentral:rRNA from 1 species